CACGGAGGCCCCGAGCGUUGUUCGGAAUUACUGGGCGUAAAGAGUGCGUAGGCGGCGAGGCAAGUCAGAUGUGAAAGCCCGGGGCUCAACCCCGGAACUGCAUCCGAUACUGCCUUGCUUGAGGGUUGGAGAGGAGACUGGAAUUCACGGUGUAGCAGUGAAAUGCGUGGAUAUCGUGAGGAAGACCAAUGGCGAAGGCAGGUCUCUGGACAACUCCUGACGCUGAGGCACGAAGGCCAGGGGAGCGAAAAGG
rnacentral:rRNA from 1 species